UUGAACGCUGGCGGCAUGCCUUACACAUGCAAGUCGAACGGCAGCACGGAGCUUGCUCUGGUGGCGAGUGGCGAACGGGUGAGUAAUAUAUCGGAACGUACCCAAGAGUGGGGGAUAACGUAGCGAAAGUUACGCUAAUACCGCAUACGAUCUAAGGAUGAAAGCAGGGGGCCUUCGGGCCUUGUGCUCCUGGAGCGGCCGAUAUCUGAUUAGCUAGUUGGUGGGGGUAAAGGCCCACCAAGGCAACGAUCAGUAGCUGGUCUGAGAGGACGACCAGCCACACUGGAACUGAGACACGGUCCAGACUCCUACGGGAGGCAGCAGUGGGGAAUUUUGGACAAUGGGGGCAACCCUGAUCCAGCAAUGCCGCGUGAGUGAAGAAGGCCUUCGGGUUGUAAAGCUCUUUUGUCAGGGAAGAAAAGGCUGUGGCUAAUAUCCAUGGCUCAUGACGGUACCUGAAGAAUAAGCACCGGCUAACUACGUGCCAGCAGCCGCGGGUAAUACGUAGGGUGCAAGCGUUAAUCGGAAUUACUGGGCGUAAAGCGUGCGCAGGCGGUUUUGUAAGACUGUCGUGAAAUCCCCGGGCUCAACCUGGGAAUGGCGAUGGUGACUGCAAGGCUAGAGUUUGGCAGAGAGGGGGGUAGAAUUCCACGUUGUAGCAGUGAAAUGCGUAGAUAUGUGGAGGAACACCGAUGGCGAAGGCAGCCCCCUGGGUCAAAACUGACGCUCAUGCACGAAAGCGUGGGGAGCAAACAGGAUUAGAUACCCCUGGUAGUCCACGCCCUAAACGAUGUCUACUAGUUGUCGGGUCUUAAUUGACUUGGUAACGCAGCUAACGCGUGAAGUAGACCGCCUGGGGAGUACGGUCGCAAGAUUAAAACUCAAAGGAAUUGACGGGGACCCGCACAAGCGGUGGAUGAUGUGGAUUAAUUCGAUGCAACGCGGAAAAACCUUACCUACCCUUGACAUGGCAGGAAUCCUGAAGAGAUUUGGGAGUGCUCGAAAGAGAACCUGCACACAGGUGCUGCAUGGCUGUCGUCAGCUCGUGUCGUGAGAUGUUGGGUUAAGUCCCGCAACGAGCGCAACCCUUGUCAUUAGUUGCUACGAAAGGGCACUCUAAUGAGACUGCCGGUGGACAAACCGGAGGAAGGUGGGGAUGACGUCAAGUCCUCAUGGCCCUUAUGGGUAGGGCUUCACACGUCAUACAAUGGUACAUACAGAGGGCCGCCAACCCGCGAGGGGGAGCUAAUCCCAGAAAGUGUAUCGUAGUCCGGAUCGUAGUCUGCAACUCGACUACGUGAAGUUGGAAUCGCUAGUAAUCGCGGAUCAGCAUGUCGCGGUGAAUACGUUCCCGGGUCUUGCACACACCGCCCGUCACACCAUGGGAGCGGGUUUUACCAGAAGUAGGUAGCUUAACCGUAAGGAGGGCGCUUACCACGGUAGGAUUCGUGACUGGGGUG
rnacentral:rRNA from 1 species